rnacentral:lncRNA from 1 species
ACGACCCCACUAAUCUCUCCCUCUCCCUCGUCGAAAUUCCAAUUCCACUCGCCUCGCCUCGCCUCCCCCACCUUCCGAUUCGCUCGCGUAUUAUAUUGCGCCGUCUCGAGACUUCUAGAUCCUUCCAGUGGAACCCGCCGCCGCUUCUGGAUCCUUCUCCUGCCCCUCAUUUUAAGCGCCACCUCCCCCGCCCCCCCACGCCACCGACCGAGCUGCCGGCGGAGGUGCGAAGCCAUCGAGUUAUUGCAUAUGGUGGCACCAAGCAUGAGGUUACAACUGCAUUACUUGCAAGGGAAUCACAAGUCACAAGAAACACAUGUUAUUACAAUGGAUAAUCAAUGGGUCAUCAUACUAUGACUUUCUUGCAAGUCGUGCAGUUGUUGCCUCAAGCUUGCUGCCUCCGUCUGUCAGAACUGCAACUAAGCUAGGAAGUUCAAUCAGGUUUUUUUUUAUCUUGAACAGUAAAUUCAAUGUUGACAAUUAAUGUAGUAAUGAUUUCUUAAGGAAUGAAUACUAAUUUUGUGUUCAUGGGGAUCGAUAGUCUUUUUUAAACGUCAUGUUUAAACAAGAUCAUUACUGGUGCUUUGAGUGGAGCCUAAUACUGCAUUACUAUUUAUUGCUUGCUGUUAUAGUUUGUUACGUACCAUGUCCAUUCCU